rnacentral:rRNA from 1 species
CCUACGGGUGGCAGCAGUGGGGAAUAUUGCACAAUGGGGGAAACCCUGAUGCAGCAACGCCGCGUGAGCGAAGAAGGCCUUCGGGUCGUAAAGCUCUGUCCUAAGGGAAGAAGCAUGACGGUACCUUAGGAGGAAGCCCGGACUAACUACGUGCCAGGAGCCGCGGUAAUACGUAGGGGGAGAGCGUUAUACGGAAUCACUGGGCGUAAAGGCUGCGUAGGGGGCCAAUUAAGCCAGGGGUGAAAGGCGACGGCUCAACCUGUGUGAGCAAUUGAAACUGUCUAGCUUGAGAAAAGGAGAGGAAAGUGGAAUUCCUGGUGUAGCGGUGAAAUGCGUAGAUAUCAGGGGGAAUACCAGUGGCGAAGGCGAGUUUCUGGACUUAGACUGACGCUGAGGUGCGAAAGCGUGGGGAGCAAAGAGGAUUAGAUACCCCUGUAGUG